rnacentral:rRNA from 1 species
AUGGUGUUACGCCGGCACCGAUCACGCUCCCGGGGUGCCCCGACAAGUGCGGCCAAGUGAGCAUCCCUUACCCCUUCGGCAUCAAGGAUGACUGCUACCUCCCAGGCUUCCGAAUCACCUGUGAUGACACCUUUUCCCGCUGAUGCUACUUUCGGCUGGGGGCAAACCAAGACCGAAGUAAUCUACUACUCCACCAACAUCAUCCGCGAGCCAGAUAAGUUUAUCAACUCAUCCUGGUCGCCUGUUGAGCUCUCGGGCGUGUCCGUGGUGGAGGGGAAGCUACUGGUGCACGCCCCGUUCAGCUACGACUGCAGAUUCAACUCGACGUGGAACACGGCGAGAACGAUAACUAUACAAUUCCCGUACCAGAGUCCGUUCCUGCUGUCACAGGGAAGCACCGUGCUGAUGGGCAUCGGGAGAUCUGCCAAGGCCCAGCAGAACCUUGGUCCCAGUUGUGAGGCGUACGCGGGAGUCUCCCUGCCCAAGGGCAUCAACACGACGGCGUGCUCAGGCUGGGGCUGCUGCCAGGUCGCCAUACAGCCCGAGCCGUUGAGACCCGGCGUGUUCGACGUCAGCGUGUAUCUUGACAGGGAGUACUACAAAAACAAAGAUUGCUCCUACGCCAUGCUUGCGGACAAGUCCUGGUACAACUUCACGACGACGGACCUCGACGGCGACGUUUUCUUGCGGAGGAACGACGCCCGAGGGGUGCCCGUCGUGCUAGACUUUGUCGCCGGUUUCGAUCAAUGUCCGCGACCUCAUCAACCAGCGCCCAAGGGAUACGCGUGCACCAGCGACAACAGCAUGUGCGUCCAAGUCCCCUUCUUUUACACUGAUGCCUACAUCUGCAGGUGCUUGGACGGGUACCAAGGCAAUCCUUAUAUACCAACUGCUGGUUGCCAAGACAUUAACGAGUGUGAGCGGCCAGAUCUGUACCCUUGCCAUGGGAUAUGCCAGAACAUGGAAGGAGGAUACAAGUGCACCUGCCCUGCCGGAACCAGGGGCAAUGCCAUACAAGGGCGUUGCACCGAUAUAUUUCCUCUACCAGCAAAGCUGUCACUAGGUGCAACCGGCGGUCUUUUUCUCAUAGCACUUUUGGGGUUUGUCGUCCUUCUCCGUAGAGAGAAAAGGAAGAUGAGACCAUUUUUUGAGAGAAAUGGCGGCCCUGCACUAGAAAAGGCAAAAAUUAUAAAGAUCUACACAAGAGACGAGCUCAAGCAGAUUAUAAAAACUACAAAUUUUAUAGGCAAGGGUUGCUAUGGUGAAGUUUACAAGGGCUUUCUUGAUAAUCAACUAGUUGCGGUAAAGAAGCCCAUUAAGGACAAUAUCGCACCAAACGAGCAAUUUGCAAACGAAGUCAUUAUUCAAUCUCAAGUCAUCCACAAGAACAUUGUUAGGCUCGUAGGUUGUUGCCUGGAAGUUGAUAUGCCGAUGCUAGUUUACGAGUUCCUCUCAAGAGGCAGCCUCGAUGACACUCUUCACAACAACAACAACAACAACAACAACAACAACAACAACAACAACAACAACAACAACAACAACAACAACAACAACAACAACAACGACAAGAAGAAGGUGACUCUUGACAUAGAUAAACGUCUAAAUAUUGCUGCAGAAUCAGCCGAUGGUCUUGCUUACAUGCAUUCAAAAACUAGCAAGACAAUUCUACAUGGUGAUGUGAAACCAGCAAAUAUACUCUUGGAUGAUGAUUAUGUACCAAAGAUAUCUGACUUUGGUAUAUCAAGGUUGAUUGCAAAAGAUAAAGAGCACACCUUAACAGUCAUUGGCGACAGGACUUACAUGGAUCCAGCAUAUCUACAAACUGGCCUACUGACAGAAAAAAGUGAUGUCUACAGCUUUGGAGUUGUACUAUUGGAACUUGUAAGUGGGAGAAAGGCUACGUAUUUGGAUAACAAUAGCUUACUAAGAAACUUCCUUGAUGCUCAGAAAAAAGAGAUGAUACCAACCGAGUUGUUCGACAAAGAAUUUGAAGAACCAAGAGAUUUGGAGCUUCUUAGUAGCAUUACAAGGGUUGCCAUGGGAUGUCUUGGUCUUGAUGUGGAUGAAAGACCAUCAAUGACAGAUGUAGUAGAGCGCCUUCUCGCAUUGAAGAGAUCUCGUGUGUAG